GAUGAAGAACGCAGCGAAAUGCGAUACGUAAUGUGAAUUGCAGAAUUCAGUGAAUCAUCGAAUCUUUGAACGCAUAUUGCGCUCUCUGGUAUUCCGGAGAGCAUGCUUGUUUGAGUAUCAGUAAACACCUCAACUCCCUUUUCUUUUUUGAAAUUGGAGCUGGACUUGAGUGAUCCCAACGCUUUCUUCCAAGAAAGUGGCGGGUUGCUUGAAAUGCAGGUGCAGCUGAACUUUUCUCUGAGCUAUAAGCAUAUCUAUUUAGUCUGCCUAAAAAACAGAUUAUUACCUUUGCUGCAGCUAACAUAAAGGAGACUAGUUCUUGUGCUGACUGAUGCAGGAUUCGCAGAGACAGCUUCGGCUGACUUUGUAAACUCGAUCUCAAAUCAAGUAAGACUACCCGCUGAACUUAAGCAUAUCAAUAAGCGGAGGA
rnacentral:misc_RNA from 1 species